rnacentral:misc_RNA from 1 species
AUUACGUAAAAGUGAGAACUAUUUUCAAAAAAGUUCGGGAUUAUUUUAGUUUCGCAAAAUUGUCUGUCUCUGUCACUUAUGUACUUACAAUUCUAAUGUAUAGUCUUAAUCAUAACCGUUUCCUUCCGUGAACAAGCAUAGCAUUACGCAAUCGUAUACCUACGAACAAUACACAGUUUAACAAUUUCCUUCCCUCUUUUCAUAGUCCGUGAACGAAAUUGCACAAAAAGUUAACGGAUAUAAUUUAUGUUGUACGUAAUAUAAUAUGUCAUUCUUAUAUGAUUCAUUGGAAAUUCUAAGGAAAAAGAAAAAUAAAAUACGAAAACGGUUGGGAUAUUAUUGGAUCUGUUCGAUUUCGUAAGUUUGAGGCUAUUGAAAAUUUGCAUUCUCCUCGAAAGGUUUCAUUUGCGCUUUUACAUGAUAUUGCUGCAAGUACAACAAAACAAAAAAAGCCAACAAUAAUUAUCAGCAUCGAUCAUAAUAAGGAUACGAAAAAAAAUAAAAUAAAAAUUACAAUUGAAUACGUUGUAGCAUUAGCUUUUGCGGGUUCGUGUUCCACUCUGGUUCUCUUUUCUUUUCAUUCUUUCUUCCCUUCUGCUUUGCACAGUUUCAUUUAUUUAUAUCUAUAUAUCUCUACAUAUAGCUUUUCUCCCUGCCGCAAAAACGAAACCGAGAGAACUAUGGCAACUAACGUAAUUAAUGGCAAGUUUUUUGCUAUUCGAAAGAUCAGAGUAAAACGUUUCGGUGGAUAGUGUACACAUGGAAUGAAACGACGAGAAAAGAAAUAGAGAUAGUACGACAUAAUGCAAAAUGAACAAAAGAGGCAAAAUAAAAAAAACAAGGAAAACAAGAAUUGAUAAAUAAAAUGCGCAUUAACGUAAAACGACUUAAUAAUAAAGAAAAUAAACGAGUUAAAAACACUUUACAUUCACAAUAAUUCGACAAACAAACAUAUCGCAUAAUAUACAAUAAUGAGCGAAACUAAAAAGUAAUAAAAUGAAACUAUCGCAGAUUCUCUUUUUAUGAAUAUUCAUAGGUAGAAUUUUGUAUGCGUUCCAAUUUUUUUUAAAGCUCUAAAUGCUUUACCGAAUGCAUAUAUGUGUACACAUUCAACGUUAAAUUUCAUUACUCUUUUUUCCUUUCCCCUCUUUUAUCCCUUUUUUAAUACCAAAGUUUUACAGUACUUCAAUGAUAUUCUCAGACAACGGAAUAAAUAAAUUCCUCUUUUGGAUUUUUCUCUCUUUCUUUUUAUAUCCAGUGAAGACCGCCUGUUUUUAUAUUAUGGAACAAAACAUUUAAACAUAACAGAUUUCUAUUGCUGAUCUCAAAUCUUAUAUUCUAAACAUCCAACAACAAGAAACAGAAGAAACAUUUGAAUCGUGCUGCAGCCGAGCAGUGAAUCGUUCGAUGAUUCUUUUUCGCUCUUUUUGUAUUUUCCCCCUUUGUUUUGGAAGUUUCAUAUUUGUACAAAGACAUUGUGUAAUAUUCGUUUCUUUCCCUCUCUUUUUUUAAUUUUUCUUUAUAGAUAUAAUCUCUCGUGUAACUUUGGACGUGCCUGUGAGAUUCCAAAAAUAGCCGGUAUGGAAGCCAUAAAAUCAUUCCAUAAGAUUAGCAUUUAGGAAAGUAAAAUAGUUCGUUGCACAUUCAAAAACGCGUUCCAAACGGCUGCUGCGCAAAUCAAUGUUCAGAAUAAGAAUAUUAUAAAUCAACGUACUUUGAAACUGUGAGAGGAUAGAGAAAUCACAGAAAAA